rnacentral:rRNA from 1 species
GAAAGACCUUGCGCUUUUAGAGCGGCCGAUGCCUGAUUAGCUUGUUGGUGAGGUAAAAGCUUACCAAGGCUUCGAUCAGUAGCUGGUCUGAGAGGACGACCAGCCACACUGGGACUGAGACACGGCCCAGACUCCUACGGGAGGCAGCAGUGGGGAAUUUUGGACAAUGGGGGCAACCCUGAUCCAGCCAUGCCGCGUGAGUGAAGAAGGCCUUCGGGUUGUAAAGCUCUUUCAGCCGGAACGAAACGGUUACGGUUAAUACCCGUGACUACUGACGGUACCGGAAGAAGAAGCACCGGCUAACUACGUGCCAGCAGCCGCGGUAAUACGUAGGGUGCGAGCGUUAAUCGGAAUUACUGGGCGUAAAGCGUGCGCAGGUGGUUUUGUAAGUCAGAUGUGAAAUCCCCGGGCUUAACCUGGGAACUGCGUUUGAAACUACAAGACUAGAGUGUGGCAGAGGGGGGUGGAAUUCCGCGUGUAGCAGUGAAAUGCGUAGAGAUGUGGAGGAACACCGAUGGCGAAGGCAGCCCCCUGGGUCAACACUGACACUCAGGCACGAAAGCAUGGGGAGCAAACAGGAUUAGAUACCCUGGUAGUCCAUGCCCUAAACGAUGUCAACUGGUUGUCGGGCCUUAACGGGCUUGGUAACGUAGCUAACGCGUGAAGUUGACCGCCUGGGGAGUACGAUCGCAAGAUUAAAACUCAAAGGAAUUGACGGGGACCCGCACAAGCGGUGGAUUAUGUGGAUUAAUUCGAUGCAACG